AUAUGAAAGCUCAUAUUGGUAAAAACAACCAAAUAUAUUUAGUAGCAACAAAUAAAAUUUGGUUAAAUUUACCAAUUACUCUUUGUGGUCAAUGGGGUAUAUUUGUAGACUUCUGGUUCUAUGUUCUAUUGAAUCCAAUAAAAUAUGCUAGAAUGCUAUAGCACAUUCUAAAUCCUAUGGCUAUAGAAUAUUCUAUAGGACUUCUUAUGAUCUUAUGCUAUAUAGAAUUCCAUUGCCGUAUUCUAUAGAAUUCACAAAUCCUAUAGAAUUUACAAAUCCUAUAGAAUAUUAAAUCUUAAAAUUAAAUUUCUCAGCAAAAAUCACUCGUUUUGUAAGGACAAAUCACACAUGCAUGUAUCUGUAAACUGUCUUCAUAAUAUACCUGUUCGCAGGUUACGUGGCGGGCGUUUUGCCCAAAGAGGACCGCAAGGUUAUGUGGGACUUGUAUAACCGACACGCGUUAUUUUCAAAUUUUGAGCGCGUCUUUGACUCUUUGUCAUCGGUUCAAGGUUUUAUAGUAGAAUUUAGUGAGUUUUUCUUUCGUAUUUUAACAUAAAAUACGCGUUAUUUGAAUUUGUCAAUGAGUAGUCAUGCGAAAUUGGUGAAACACGCUGGAUUAAUAUGCGAGGAGAUCCGAAUUAUUUGUGAAUAGUGACUGUGAUCGCGAGGAAGAAGUAAUUGUGUCAUGGCCAUGUGGAAUUUCUAAAGUUGAUAAGAAAAUAAUCAAAGGUUCCAUUCAACUAUCUACAAUUUCAACAACAACAUGUGUACAGCUAAAGUAUUAUAAUUCAGUGGCUUCAAGAUCACCUUUAAGUGCAAGAUUCUUGUGACUGAUGCUGAAUCAGAAAUCCUCAAAUUCUGAUGCUGAAUCAGAAAUCCUCAAAUUCUGAUGCUGAAUCAGAAAUGGCAAGUAUUAUUGUAUUUAUGCUGUCAAAACUCAACAACUGUAAAUCCUACUUCUGGUGAAUCAUAUAGAUAAUAUAAUAUACCUUUUAUUUAUAUCAUUAUAAAUAGGGCCAUUACAACUAUUUCUGUCAAUGCUUUUGCAGUACAUUUAUAAAUUCUAUAGCUAUAUCAUGGCAUCAUGCUAAGAAUGAAUAAGGUGUCAAAUGUUUAAAUUUCAUAUUUACUGUUAAAAUUUACAGAUUUUCUUAUAUCCAAACAUAUUAACCAAAGGUCAAAAUUUGGUUUAUGCAAUUAUGGGCAUGUCAAGGAUGCAAGAACAACUUUGCUCUCAUUCCAUCCCUGGGAAACUUUCAAAUUAUGCCUUUAAAGAAAAGGAUGCAAAACCCCAACUCGACCCAGAGAAAGUUAAGAGUAUAUGUGAGCAUCAUUUCGAUGCACAUGGUUAAGAUGCCCAAACAUUGAUUCAAAGAAGCCAUCAAUGCUGGCUGUUCUGGAAAAGAACAAGAACAAAGAUGUCCAACACAUUAUUGGUCUAUUAGAGGAUUGUCACCCGAACUAGAAAAAGGAUGACAGUGGUGUUGAAAUUUAGACCAUUGUAAAAAAAGAACAUUCCCGAAGUUGCUAUUAACUGGAUCUCUUGGUUACAUCCAUUCACUGGACCUUUUGGCUGAAGGCAUGGUAGCAAUAAAGUUUAAGCAGUUUUCCAUCUUAAAUGCUGUUGUGUGUUUGCUGACUGCAUUGUAUGUAUCCAACGCAGAGAACCCUAAAGAUGGAGGUGGGUAGACAAAGAAUGUGUUCCUUCUUCUGGACCAGA
rnacentral:lncRNA from 1 species